AAAACUAUACUUUCAGGGAUCAUUUCUAUAGUACUUCUAUAGAGAAGUUUCUCUGAUUGUGUAGAGCACCCGAAGCAACGAGGAGGAGCCAGAGUUUCCUCUCCUGAGCUUGAAGCCGGCUCUAGGUGUUGCUUCUGCGGCUGCCUUUUGCCAUUGAUGAUCGUUCUUCUCUUCCUUUGGAAGGGUUAGAGCAGGGGUCUCAAACUCAAU